GACGUAGGGGGCCAGCGUUGCUCGGAAUUACUGGGCGUAAAGGGUUCGUAGGCGGUGUGGCAAGUCGGGAGUGAAAUCUCUGGGCUUAACUCAGAGGCUGCUUCCGAAACUGCCGUGCUAGAGUGCGGGAGAGGCGAGUGGAAUUGCAGGUGUAGCGGUGAAAUGCGUAGAUAUCUGCAGGAACACCCGUGGCGAAGGCGGCUCGCUGGACCGCAACUGACGCUGAGACGCGAAAGCGUGGGGAGCGAACAGG
rnacentral:rRNA from 1 species